rnacentral:rRNA from 1 species
UACCUCUUGACAUCCAGAGAACUUAGCAGAGAUGCUUUGGUGCCUUCGGGAACUCUGAGACAGGUGCUGCAUGGCUGUCGUCAGCUCGUGUUGUGAAAUGUUGGGUUAAGUCCCGCAACGAGCGCAACCCUUAUCCUUUGUUGCCAGCGGUUAGGCCGGGAACUCAAAGGAGACUGCCAGUGAUAAACUGGAGGAAGGUGGGGAUGACGUCAAGUCAUCAUGGCCCUUACGAGUAGGGCUACACACGUGCUACAAUGGCGCAUACAAAGAGAAGCGACCUCGCGAGAGCAAGCGGACCUCAUAAAGUGCGUCGUAGUCCGGAUUGGAGUCUGCAACUCGACUCCAUGAAGUCGGAAUCGCUAGUAAUCGUGGAUCAGAAUGCCACGGUGAAUACGUUCCCGGGUCUUGUACACACGCA